rnacentral:misc_RNA from 1 species
GAAAUGCGAUAAGUAAUGUGAAUUGCAGAAUUCAGUGAAUCAUCGAAUCUUUGAACGCACCUUGCGCUCCUUGGUCUUCCUUGGAGCAUGCCUGUUUGAGUAUCAUGAAAUCUUCAAAGUAAAUCUUUUGUUAACUCAAUUGGUUUCUACUUUGGUAUUGGAGGUCUUUGCAGCUUCACACCUGCUCCUCUUUGUUCAUUAGCUGGAUCUCAGUGUUAUGCUUGGUUCCACUCGGCGUGAUAAGUUAUCUAUCGCUGAGGACACUGUAAAAGGUGGCCAAGGUAAAUGCAGAUGAACCGCUUCUAAUAGUCCAUUGACUUGGACAAUACUUUUAUGAUCUGAUCUCAAAUCAGGUAGGACUACCCGCUGAACUUAAG